rnacentral:rRNA from 1 species
UACAGAGGUCUCAAGCGUUGUUCGGAUUCAUUGGGCGUAAAGGGUGCGUAGGCGGCGCGGUAAGUCGGGUGUGAAAUCUCGGGGCUUAACUCCGAAACUGCAUUCGAUACUGCCGUGCUUGAGGACUGGAGAGGAGACUGGAAUUCCUGGUGUAGCGGUGAAAUGCGCAGAUAUCAGGAGGAACACCGGUGGCGAAGGCGGGUCUCUGGGCCGAUACUGACGCUGAGGAGCGAAAGCGUGGGGAGCGGACAGG